rnacentral:lncRNA from 1 species
CUGCGAAAGUUCAUAGAUUGCUUAUAAACCUAUUUCUUUAACUAAAAGGAUGUAUUUUAACUUUAUUUUACUGAGCCAAAGUCCAUUCGUUGACGGUGUUGAAAUUAUUCUACAGCUUGGUCAUUGACAAAUUUCAUUUUCUCUGAUAAUUCAUUUAAUAAUUUGUAUCAAAAAAAAAUAGAUUCUUGAGAAAGAUUAACAUAAAAGAUAAAAUUACCCUACAUUUCUGUACUCAAAUCGAUAUGUUCUAACUUUGAAAGGGUUUCACAAUAUAUGAAUAACCGUAUAUUGGUACAAUUUAAUCCUAUUAUAGGUAAAAAACCUCACAUAGAGACAAUAAAUAAUUAUUAUUUUUUGUUAUAUUGUCGAGAAUAGAAGCAUGUAAUGAAUGCAAUAUCUCGUUAUUUCCAAAGAGUCAACUGCUAAGUGAGUUCCAACAGAAUUAACAGGCAGAAGCAAGAUACUGAUGUCUUCAACGAUCACAAGAUAAAAGGAAGGUGUAUUUUUUACAAAAAAUUUCGCUGUCAGCUUGCUCCACAAAAUGCAAUUUGCACUCUUCAUUUUUCACAACUCUUCAAUGUCAAAAAGUAGUAACAGCCUAAAAAUACGAGCUAGUGUUUUUAUUAUUCAAGGUAGAUCAAAAAGAGUAUAAUUUCCGGCUAUCUUGAAAAUGAUUCACGCUAGCUAAAAGUAUGCGAUGAUGACUAAUUAAUGAUGACCUGCAUCAUUUCGAUUCUACACACUUUAAACAUCAUUUUCUAAUGCUUCUAGCGUCGUCAAGUUAGGACCUGGCCUAAUAAAAACAUCUGAAAAAUCUUCGUUGCUUGUAAGCUCUAAAUUAUGUUCAUUCGCCAAAUGUAAAACACAAAUAAAGGCAAAACUGGUGGAUAUAUCUUUGAGUUCUUUUUUCUCGUAUGUCUCCUCUAAUUGAUUGACAGUGGAAAAAAAAGAUUUGACUGGCAUGUUGGUUUCUUCUGACUCCAUCUCCGAACCCUCAAUAUGAGAGUUGAUGGAAUUUUCUUUAAUUGUGUUUUCAAGAUCUAGACAUUUCCAUAGCUUUUCUUUCAGUACUCGCACAUCAACCUUUUUAGCACGCUUCGCAUAAUUCAGCAUAUCUGGUUUUGCCAAACGAGCAGUUAACAAAAGGUUAUCACCAAAUCCUGAUGAUGAUGGAGGUGUAAGCAGAGGUGUUUGCUUAGGGCUAUCGGAAUCUCCAAAUCCAUACGGGGGUAUUCCUUCAUCAACAUUAUCACUGCCAUCAGAAUCGAAUCCAUGGGGUUGAAUACCGUCCAAAUCAUUCUCAUCAUCUAAGGCUUUAUUCAGUUGUAGCUGUCCUUCUCCAUCAGCGUUGGGUAGAACUGACAUCUUUGGUUUCAAGAAAAGCUGUAAAAGCCUCUUAGAAUCAUAUUGGUAGUCAUCAGGUAGUAAACAUCGAUUAUGUCUUUUCCAAUGAGACUUGGGAAGCUUGAGACUGCUGGUUGCAGGAGUGAACAGUGCUUCGACGUCUACUUCCUGCAAGAAAUCAAUGGCGUUAUCAAGUUCUCGACGCUUUUUCCGUUCCGUGGAAGAAAGAGAACGCGAUACAUUAUCUGAACUUUCAGCCGUAUUGGAAGAGUUGAAUACAGUUGAUGCGUUAUUGAUAUUUUUUCUCAAUGCCUGAAUGCGCCAAUGUUCGGGUCCAGCCCAGUUCUUUUUCAUUGACUUGUCAAAAUAUUCGUAUACUCCAUUCGCAGCGGCAGUAGAAAUAAUAGAAUAAUUUUCAUUCAUAGUACUUCCAUCAGCCAUAUUGACUUCAGUAUCCACACCAAAAUCUGGAUUUUCGGAUUCGUCCAUUGCUUUUGGUACUACAUCAACAUAUGGGUUCUCCUCAUCGUAAGCCAUUUCCUCCAAAGCAUGCACAAUAUGUCCUUCUUCACCAUCGGAAUCGGAAGAAAGGGAAGCUGCAUCAGCAUCAGUUUUCUCCAUCGUAUUAUCCACUAAGGAGGUUGUCGUUAUCAUGUUAACUUCAUCACUUAAUGAUUUUAAGAGAGAGACAUCAAGAUUCCCUUUACUAUCAAAUUCAAAGCCCUGUAAGGAGGGACAUAUUGUCAACUGAUCAAUAUCGGUAAAAUAGCAUUUGUAAAUACCAUUCAAGGUCUCCCUAGAAAUAUUGUCAUGCACAUUAGUCAUUUCUGUGUCAUGGCUUUCGAUAGGCGCUGCGACUACCGCUUCCUGCGAUUCAGCUUCAACAUCUUUAUUUUCCAAAUCCUUGAUGACAGUAUCGCUAGAAUCGAAUACAAUUCGUCCAUGUUGAUCAACACAAAGAUGAUUCAUUAAUAAGCCUUUAGCACCAUCCUCAUCAAAAUCUGCACACAUUUUCUUGAAUAAAGGAUCAAAAGAACAUUCUAACUCAAAUUUUUUAGCGCGUAUUGACUCGAAAUCUUUAACGAGAGUCUUUACCGAACGUUGUGCACGCUUUCUCUCUUUCUUUUUCUGUAGAUCCUCAUCAUCAUUUUCAGCAUCUUCGCCUUCUUCCGUUUGCUGCAAUACUUUGGAAUCGUUUGCCAAUCCACUGAGUAGCUUGCCGGUCUCAGUAGCAACAGAAUCAAUACGCGAAGUAUAAAUUUUCACGCAUCCGUCUAAUGUACAGCUUGCCUUUUGGAAAUUUAUAUCUUCACCAUCACGUAGAAGCGACAUGUCGUGAAAAUAGUCAAUAAGCGCAAAAUUCCAGGUAUUUGUGGAAUUAAUUUUGUUGUCAGUAGCUAAUUUAAUCCAUUCCUCAAAAUUAGAAAGAACAGGAACCUGAUGAGAGCUAUUAAAUGGUGAAGAAUUGUUUAGAGAUUCUCUUCUUGGCGUUAUUGAGUGCAGAGCUGAACUUCUUCGCAACUCGCGCUGCUUACGGCUGUUCUCUUUAGCUCUUUUUUUUUCUAAUGCAUCGUCAUUUAAGGAGGGUAAGCUAACGGGCGCAUGCCCGCCUAAACUAGCUCUUUUCAUUGAUUUAAGUAAAUGUUUAUGUUCACAAGUGGUAAGUCGGUGUGCCUAUACGUAUAUCGCGCUUUAACGAUAUGCC